AAUACUCUCGAAACACACCAAAACACACUUAAACACACUCAAAACACACCAAAAUACUCUCGAAACACACCAAAACACACUUAAACACACUCAAAACACUCCCAAACACACCCAAACACACUCAAAACAUUCCCAAACACACUCAAACAUACGUAAACACACCCCAAAAUACCUCAAAAUACCUCAAAAAACAUCCCAAAUAUAUCUUCAUAAAACACUUGAACACACACAUGGCUACCCAUCACUAAAACUCAGCCACCCAUCUCUUAAACACAAGGAUAUCCCAUUUAAAACACCCAUUCCUACACCUCCAUUCCUGCCCAUUCCAGCUCCAGUCAGCUUUUCCCCUAUUCCUGUGCCUUCCAGUCAGUUCUGCCUUAUUCCAGCACAAUUCCAGUCUCUGCUGUAUUCCUGUUAAAUUCCAGUCAGUUUUGUUCCAUUUCCACCCAUUCCUGUUAGAUUUUCCUGUAUUCCCAAUCCAUUCCAGUCUUGCUUCCCUUUAUUUCCAGUCUGCUUAGCCCAAUUCCAGCCCCAUCUACCCCAAUUCCAGUACCCCCCAAUUUCUCCCCAUCUCAUCCCAUCACUGCUACACCCAACUUUAAAACACUGAUCCAAACACCCGUUUAACUGCCCUCCCCAACCCUCACACACCCCUCAACACACACACACACACACACAAAGAUACCCAUAAACACACCUAAAAUAUUUUAAAACACACAAAAAACACUAGAUACACAUCUAAACACACCCAAGACAGCUUCAGGCACACUCAAAACACACCAAAAUUUAUCCAAAACACCACAUAACUUACCCAGACACCCCCAGGACCCCCAAACACCCCACCAUGCCUCUCUCAAUCACCAGUCACCACCACCUCAGCCCCACCAUCAACAUGUACAGCAAGGAAGGCGCAGGGGACUCGGGCCCUGACAGACACCACACUGGGGACUACCUGGCACCCUUAGCUUCUGUAGAUCUGUCCCGUGUCAACACCCCUGGCGGAUCACCCUCCCCAUGACCCGGCCAUCACCCCGCCCUUGAGGACCCCAAUUGGGAGCCCCCGGUGGACCAAGGGAUGUUGCUGAGGUCACACCUGAUUCCGGAAUCUUGACACCCCUUCAAGAUUCCGAGCCGUUUAAUGAAGGGCCGCCCGACAGGUACUGCCUUGUGUUCCUGACCUUAGUUGUGCAUGGAGUCUGAACACUGAUGCCUCGGAAUAUGUUCAUCACUGCCAAGAACUUGCCAUUGGGAUCUUCCAGAACACAGUGUAUGGGACAGCUGCCCAUCUCCCAUUUAGCUACAUGGUGGCGGUGGUGCUGGACUCGGUAAGUGAUGGGUGAUGGGGAAGAAAUGGGUGAAGAAAUGGGUGACAGGGAGAAAAUAAUGUUUUUUUGUUUAUUUAUUUAUUUUUUUUUGAUGGGUAAGGAAUGGGUGGUGGAGAAAAUAGCGUUUUAUUUAUUUAUUCAUUUAUUUAUCUUCUUCCUGACUUCUUCUCCACUCAAGUAAACUAUAUCAUGUCCCACCAAUUCUCUCUCUCUCUCUCUCUCUCUCUCUCUCUCUCUCUUGAAGUUUUCUAUUAUUUUCUCUCAAAUUAAAGAGGGGUGGUGGAGUUUGACCUCUCUAUACCUCACCUGCCUAUCACUGAAACUUUUGAAUGGAGUUUACUUUAGGAGAUACUAGCAGGUUAGGUGGUCACAGAUAUACCUCUCCUAGCUGAAUUUACCGAGUAAUUGAAAUAACUAUGAUUUCAGUUUGGUCUCCCACACACACACAGACAAAAUUAAGUCUUUAAAAAUACGAUAUAAUUGCUAAUAUCUUGUGUGGAGUAGGUAAUGUAGGCUUCACACAUAAACAAACUUGAGUCUUUAGAGAAUAAGUUAUAAUUCCUAAUAUCUUGUGUGGGAAAAUGUUUUGGAUUCAUUUUAAUUAAGUCAUCCUCACCCAUAAAACAAAGUUGAGUUAGAGGAUAUGAUAAACAGAUUACAUCAAGCAUUUAUCAGACUGAAAUGUGUUAGGCUUCAAUACUGUAAAAUGUUUUGGGACCGUAAGUAAAGCAGAUAUGUAAAGCCAGGAGUGUUCUAGAGCAAACAGUUUUUAUCUUAAGUACAGCCACUGGGAUUAUUUGUGUGUAAUGAAGAU